AGCUACAGCCCAGCCUCCUUUGCUUUUCUGGGCCAGCCUCUCUGGAGCUGAAUCUGGCUGGCUGGAUUUGAGGAGCCUGCAUGGGCGCACUCUCUCUCUCUGAAUCCCAGCUAGGGCUCUCGUGGCUGUAAUUACUAAGACUCAGCUGCUGGGAAUUUCCACGCCUCCUACCUCUCUACAGGGUAGUCCCUCCAUAUUAGGAAACCCACUGGCACGCUCCGCCAUUAUCUUCGCAAGACUUCCGUUGUUGUGUCAAGUUGCAGAUUGCCUUUUAACAGAGAAAAAAGUGACAGUUUCUUCUCUGCAGCUGGGGUUCUCUGUGUUCAGGGAUUACCCAAACCACGGCUUUCUUUGGAGACCAGUGAUGGCAAAGCGUUCUCUUCUGAUCCUGCCAAGUCGCCCUCACUCAGCUCAAGGCCUCUGGCAUUCCUUGGAGACUUCUG
rnacentral:lncRNA from 1 species